UAUAUUCUGUAGCAAGGUUAACCGAAUAGGGGAGCCGAAGGGAAACCGAGUCUUAACUGGGCGUUAAGUUGCAGGGUAUAGACCCGAAACCCGGUGAUCUAGCCAUGGGCAGGUUGAAGGUUGGGUAACACUAACUGGAGGACCGAACCGACUAAUGUUGAAAAAUUAGCGGAUGACUUGUGGCUGGGGGUGAAAGGCCAAUCAAACCGGGAGAUAGCUGGUUCUCCCCGAAAGCUAUUUAGGUAGCGCCUCGUGAAUUCAUCUCCGGGGGUAGAGCACUGUUUCGGCAAGGGGGUCAUCCCGACUUACCAACCCGAUGCAAACUGCGAAUACCGGAGAAUGUUAUCACGGGAGACACACGGCGGGUGCUAACGUCCGUCGUGAAGAGGGAAACAACCCAGACCGCCAGCUAAGGUCCCAAAGUCAUGGUUAAGUGGGAAACGAUGUGGGAAGGCCCAGACAGCCAGGAUGUUGGCUUAGAAGCAGCCAUCAUUUAAAGAAAGCGUAAUAGCUCACUGGUCGAGUCGGCCUGCGCGGAAGAUGUAACGGGGCUAAACCAUGCACCGAAGCUGCGGCAGCGACGCUGAUGCGUUGUUGGGUAGGGGAGCGUUCUGUAAGCCUGUGAAGGUGUGCUGUGAGGCAUGCUGGAGGUAUCAGAAGUGCGAAUGCUGACAUAAGUAACGAUAAAGCGGGUGAAAAGCCCGCUCGCCGGAAGACCAAGGGUUCCUGUCCAACGUUAAUCGGGGCAGGGUGAGUCGACCCCUAAGGCGAGGCCGAAAGGCGUAGUCGAUGGGAAACAGGUUAAUAUUCCUGUACUUGGUGUUACUGCGAAGGGGGGACGGAGAAGGCUAUGUUGGCCGGGCGACGGUUGUCCCGGUUUAAGCGUGUAGGCUGGUUUUCCAGGCAAAUCCGGAAAAUCAAGGCUGAGGCGUGAUGACGAGGCACUACGGUGCUGAAGCAACAAAUGCCCUGCUUCCAGGAAAAGCCUCUAAGCAUCAGGUAACAUCAAAUCGUACCCCAAACCGACACAGGUGGUCAGGUAGAGAAUACCAAGGCGCUUGAGAGAACUCGGGUGAAGGAACUAGGCAAAAUGGUGCCGUAACUUCGGGAGAAGGCACGCUGAUAUGUAGGUGAAGCGACUUGCUCGUGGAGCUGAAAUCAGUCGAAGAUACCAGCUGGCUGCAACUGUUUAUUAAAAACACAGCACUGUGCAAACACGAAAGUGGACGUAUACGGUGUGACGCCUGCCCGGUGCCGGAAGGUUAAUUGAUGGGGUCAGCGCAAGCGAAGCUCUUGAUCGAAGCCCCGGUAAACGGCGGCCGUAACUAUAACGGUCCUAAGGUAGCGAAAUUCCUUGUCGGGUAAGUUCCGACCUGCACGAAUGGCGUAAUGAUGGCCAGGCUGUCUCCACCCGAGACUCAGUGAAAUUGAACUCGCUGUGAAGAUGCAGUGUACCCGCGGCAAGACGGAAAGACCCCGUGAACCUUUACUAUAGCUUGACACUGAACAUUGAGCCUUGAUGUGUAGGAUAGGUGGGAGGCUUUGAAGUGUGG
rnacentral:rRNA from 1 species